CCCUUUUCUCUUUCUCAACUCAUCCUUUUCUCUCUUCAACUCUGCAAACCCAAAAACACCUCCUUUCCCCUUUCCCAUAUCUUUCUGUCUUCAAAUCUGCAGACCUGAUAACUUAUAAUGAAGUUUAUCUGCUCAAAAUAAAAAAAUCCUAGAAUUAAAUUUCCGUUUACCUCUCAAUAAAAAAACACCCAGAUCUGAAAAACCAUAGUUUGAAUCGAAGAGGAAACAAAAGAUCAGAAUCCUUUUUCGGUUUUUAUUUUUCGUUUCAUUUUCUAAAACUAAGAACUUGUUACUUGUGUUCUUGUGAAAAGAAGAAAUAUGGCUAACUGAUUUCGAUGGCCAACUGAUGCAUGGAGGUUGAGUCUUUGGGUUCUAAAUGACUACAAUACAUUUAUUUUCACUGGUCCCAGUGCCGAAGAGGAGCUGUAAAUGGAAUUUCAUCAACUGCAAUAUCUUUAUUCAAAGUAUUCGGUCCAGGUAGUGGUGGUGCCACGUCUAUAUGAUUGAUCAAACUGCUGACUUGUUUGAUCGUUCUUCUAUACUGCGAAGUCAUUCUUUGAUUCGGAUAACACAAACAAUGAGCUCAAAAAUGAAUUUGAAGGACCUUUAUCUUAACUCAACAGUCCAAGAAGAGAAGCUUGCUGCUGGUCAAAGUGUGAGUAGGAAGGUUGUAAUGUUGAAGACUUAAAAGAGUUUAGGAAUGAUUAGGAGGUUUGGUUUGUCUCAAAAUGAAACUCUUAAUAAGGAAUUAGGGAAGAUUCGGAACAAGAAAACAACGAUAAAUGGUACGGUUGGCUAUCAAUGGGGUUGUAAACAAUUUGCAUAACUAUAUAAAAAGAAUUGGCUAUUCGUGUUUGUAGAGCUCAACAGAUGUUUUGUUACUGCUGAUAUCGGUGCCCUGCUUUACCAAGGCUGCCACGUAUGAAGAUUACUUCACAACUAGUGUACGCCUUUCUAUCUAUUCCCAUAAAUAUGAUUUAUUGAUGUUUCAGAUUAUUCAACCAGUAAGAGUGAUACUUCUUCGUGUAGUAUUUUCACUUCUUACCAAGUCAGAUUGGUGUAUAUCAAAAUUCAGAAGCAUGUGGAUCAGGAAUUAAGUUCCAAUUGUAGAUUUUAUCAGUAUUCGUUCAAUUGAAUUCAAGCAAGCACUCAAACUACUGUAAACUGCAUUCUAGAUUGCAAACACCAGUAUAUUCGGCCAUGCAACCCAUUUAUAUAUGGUUGUUCCAUUUCAAGCUUUGAUAAUGUGCAUAUGAUAUGGUCCUUUUUUAUAAACAUUUUAUAUAGUAUUGUGACCUCCCACAUUAAUCAGCUGAUGGUGGAACUUAUUUUUGAUGUACAUGUGCACCAUUACGAAGCAUAUGCUAAGUUCAUCAUCAUCGGAGUUUAUCGUUUUGCUGUCUAAUCAAUCGUUUCUUAGUUUAUCAUUUUGUAACUAAAUCCCAGAACUUAGUUACUUUUCUUGUUGUAAGAACUUAUAUUGGUCAGAACUCAAGACUUGUUCUUUUUUGUAUUAUUUGUGUGCAAGUUUAAUUUGAGUUUGAUUUGGUUCUCAUUUGAGUUUCA